rnacentral:rRNA from 1 species
UACGGGGGGGAGCAAGCGUUGUUCGGAUUUACUGGGCGUAAAGGGCGCGUAGGCGGUCGUGACAAGUCACUUGUGAAAUCUCCGGGCUUAACUCGGAACGGUCAAGUGAUACUGUCGGACUAGAGUACAGAAGGGGCAACUGGAAUUCUCGGUGUAGCGGUGAAAUGCGUAGAUAUCAGGAAGAACACCAAUGGCGAAAAGCAGCUCUCUGGGGACGGUACUGACGCUGAGACGCGAAAAGCGUGGGGGAGCGAACAGG